rnacentral:rRNA from 1 species
UUGUCGUCAGCUCGUGUCGUGAGAUGUUGGGUUAAGUCCCGCAACGAGCGCAACCCUUGUCUUUAGUUGCCAUCAUUAAGUUGGGCACUCUAGAGAGACUGCCAGGGAUAACCUGGAGGAAGGUGGGGAUGACGUCAAAUCAUCAUGCCCCUUAUGCUUAGGGCUACACACGUGCUACAAUGGGUAGUACAGAGGGUUGCCAAGCCGUAAGGUGGAGCUAAUCCCUUAAAGCUACUCUCAGUUCGGAUUGUAGGCUGAAACUCGCCUACAUGAAGCUGGAGUUACUAGUAAUCGCAGAUCAGAAUGCUGCGGUGAAUGCGUUCCCGGGUCUUGUAC